rnacentral:snRNA from 1 species
AGGAAAUUUUGCUCUUUUAGUAUUUGUCCAGCAAGUCUUCAAACAUUGAAGUCCCAC